rnacentral:rRNA from 1 species
GACGUAGGUGGCAAACGUUAUCCGGAAUUAUUGGGCGUAAAGGGUGCGUAGAUGGCCUGAUAAGUUAGCAGUGGGAAAUCGAGGCUCAACCUCGUGGAAGCUGGUAAUACUGACAGGCUCGAGUGCAGGAGAGGUUAACGGAACUCCAUGUGGAGCGGUAAAAUGUGUAGAUAUAUGGAAGAACACCAAUAACGGCGAAGGCAGUUAACUAUUCUGUUACUGACAUUGAGGCACGAAAGCGUGGGGAGCAAAACGG